rnacentral:lncRNA from 1 species
CACAAUUGAUUACCAAUAAGGUAUUGUGUUGUAGUAAGUCUCAAAGAAACUUAUUCAGUUUCCAAAGUAUAAGCGAAAGCGAUUGAUUAUAUUGAGACUAUAAAUAAAGGAAAGAUUUGAUAUCUUCUAUUACUACAACUUGUAGCGGGAUAAUAUAUAUGUGAGAAGCUACCCGCUUUAUUCUCCAAUUUGUACUACACAAACAAA